AAUGGAUAAAUGAUGUGAUACAAACUGCGUUAUCUACCUGCAAAUUCCUCUCGAGGAAUUGAAGAAAAUUUAUAGUACUCUGAUAUCCAUG
rfam:Beta vulgaris subsp. vulgaris Bvchr3.sca010.con0147.1, whole genome shotgun sequence.